UGCUAGUAGAAGGGUAUGGAAGCCAGCACAAUAAAAACGAGCAUUCUCCGACCUUUUCCUGCAGGUUAUCCGUCUCUUCUUUGUGUGUCGCCUCGCUCUCUUCUUGUGCACGCCGUUGAGCAGUCUCCUUCUUCAGCAGCUGUGAUCCAAAGUUACUUCUUGAACAGGUUUGGUAAUGGGCCUGGGUUUCCUUUAGGUGUUCAUCCACAGCCUAAAAGCACAUGCUGGGUGUUUUUAAAUGACCAGAAUCCAGUUUCUACUGGGCAAGGGAUUGUGCCUCCAUCCAGUAGCCCUCAAGCUUCUCCAUCCUCUCCUUGCUGUCUCUGAUGUUUUGCUCCAACUGAGCGCGCUCCAUCCGCCAACGCAACUUCUCCUGCUCUGCAUGAGCCAGCUGGAGACGUAUGGCCAGAAAGGCUCUACAAGCGGACAUGUGAGGCUUUCUCUGUGGUUUGGAUGUGAAAUAUAAAUCUGAGAUGCACACCUGCAGCACGUGCCGUUUUAAACUGUUUAACUGCAACAGCUAAAACGCCUCAGGCCAUUUCUGUACUUUACGCUGCCCUGAGGCAACACAAUAGAGAACAGCUCUACAAGCUCCAAGUUGAACAAUGUCCCGACACCAGGCUGAAGCCCAUCAUUUCCUGGACAAUGAGGAAUUUAUACCUACUUCAAGUUGUAAAGAAUGCACUCAGAUGCACCAACAUGCAAGGCCAGCCGGACCAAAAGCCUCAACACAGACGCUCAGAUUAAAGCACGUUCUAAGACUGUGCAGGAUCUUCUAAAAGUUUUCAAAUCCCUUGUACAUGUUUUUGGGGGAAGGAAGUGGAGGGAAUUGACACAUGGUUUUUCAGGUGCUUUACAAAACCACCUUUAAUGGCUAUUACAUGUGCAAGUGUGACUUUGACUGGGACAUUAUAAAAGAUAAACAUGAUUUAAUCUAAACAGUUCCACUGUGGCUCUGGCUGCAUGUUUACGAUCGUUGACCUGUUGGAAGGUGAACCACUGCCUAGUC